rnacentral:tRNA from 1 species
UGAGGAACAGCUCAUGGGUAGAGCACUUGCCCAGCACGCAAGAGUCCUGGGUUCAAUUCUCAGCACCACAU